rnacentral:tRNA from 2 species
GGAUGAUUAGCUCAGUUGGGAGAGCAUCUGCAUCACACGCAGGGGGUCGGCGGUUCGAGCCCGUCAUCGUCCA